UGGCGGACGGGUGAGUAAUGCGUCGGAACGUACCGAGUAAUGGGGGAUAACGCAGCGAAAGCUGUGCUAAUACCGCAUACGCCCUGAGGGGGAAAGUGGGGGAUCGCAAGACCUCACGUUAUUCGAGCGGCCGACGUCUGAUUAGCUAGUUGGUGGGGUAAUGGCCUACCAAGGCGACGAUCAGUAGCGGGUCUGAGAGGAUGAUCCGCCACACUGGAACUGAGACACGGUCCAGACUCCUACGGGAGGCAGCAGUGGGGAAUUUUGGACAAUGGGGGCAACCCUGAUCCAGCCAUUCCGCGUGAGUGAAGAAGGCCUUCGGGUUGUAAAGCUCUUUCAGCUGGAACGAAACGGUGCGCUCUAACAUAGCGUGCUAAUGACGGUACCAGCAGAAGAAGCACCGGCUAACUACGUGCCAGCAGCCGCGGUAAU
rnacentral:rRNA from 1 species